CCGACACUGACGCUGAGGCACGAAAGCGUGGGGAUCAAACAGGAUUAGAUACCCUGGUAGUCCACGCAGUAAACGAUGAUGACUAACUGUCGGCGAUAUACAGUCGGCGGCCAAGCGAAAGCGAUAAGUCAUCCACCUGGGGAGUACGUUCGCAAGAAUGAAACUCAAAGGAAUUGACGGGGGCCCGCACAAGCGGAGGAACAUGUGGUUUAAUUCGAUGAUACGCGAGGAACCUUACCCGGGCUCGAACGGUGCAGGAAGAGAUCAGGAGACUGUGACGCCCUUCGGGGCCUGCAUCGAGGUGCUGCAUGGUUGUCGUCAGCUCGUGCCGUGAGGUGUCGGCUCAAGUGCCAUAACGAGCGCAACCCUUGUUGUCAGUUACCAGCACGCAAUGGUGGGGACUCUGGCAAGACUGCCACCGCAAGGUGAGAGGAAGGGGGGGAUGACGUCAAAUCAGCACGGCCCUUACGUCCGGGUCGACACACGUGUUACAAUGGCGGUUACAGAGGGAUGCCACCCGGUGACGGGGAGCAAAUCCAUUAAAAGCCGCCUCAGUUCGGAUCGGAGUCUGCAACUCGACUCCGUGAAGCUGGAUUCGCUA
rnacentral:rRNA from 1 species